GAUGAACGCUGGCGGCGCGCCUAACACAUGCAAGUCGAACGAAGCACAUACAUGGAUCUCUUCGGAGUGAAGCGUUUGUGACUUAGUGGCGGACGGGUGAGUAACGCGUGGGGAACCUGCCCUGUACAGGGGGAUAACAGUUAGAAAUGACUGCUAAUACCGCAUAAGCGCACACUGUCGCAUGGCAGAGUGUGAAAAGCCGAGACGGUACAGGAGGGCCCCGCGUCUGAUUAGCUAGUUGGUGAGGUAACGGCCCACCAAGGCGACGAUCAGUAGCCGAACUGAGAGGUUGAUCGGCCACAUUGGGACUGAGACACGGCCCAGACUCC
rnacentral:rRNA from 1 species